GCAGUAGCCGCGGGAAAACAGAGGGUGCGAGCGUUAAUCGGAUUUACUGGGCGUAAAGCGUGCGUAGGCGGCUAAUUGAGUCGGAUGUGAAAUCCCCGAGCUUAACUUGGGAAUUGCAUUCGAUACUGGUUAGCUAGAGUGUGGGAGAGGAUGGUAGAAUUCCAGGUGUAGCGGUGAAAUGCGUAGAGAUCUGGAGGAAUACCGAUGGCGAAGGCAGCCAUCUGGCCUAACACUGACGCUGAGGUACGAAAGCAUGGGGAGCAAACAGGAUUAGAUACCCCAGUAGUCCCUGUCUCUUAUAC
rnacentral:rRNA from 1 species